rnacentral:lncRNA from 1 species
UUCCCUCGCCAUCCUCAAGCCAGCGAGGAGCGCUUCGUACUCGGCUUGGUUAUUGGAGGCUUUGAAGUCGAAUCGGAGGGCGUACUCGGUGACCACCCCAUCCGAGUUGGUGAGCAGGAACCCAGCCCCGCUCUCCUGAGCGUUUGAAGCUCCGUCGAUGUGCAGUACCCAGGUGGAGACCGGGUCUAGCUCGGGGACCGCAUCUCCUCCCGGGUCCGCAGCUCCUGACCCU